GGACGGGUGAGUAAUGCCUGGGAAAUUGCCCUGAUGUGGGGGAUAACCAUUGGAAACGAUGGCUAAUACCGCAUAAUAGCUUCGGCUCAAAGAGGGGGACCUUCGGGCCUCUCGCGUCAGGAUAUGCCCAGGUGGGAUUAGCUAGUUGGUGAGGUAAUGGCUCACCAAGGCGACGAUCCCUAGCUGGUCUGAGAGGAUGAUCAGCCACACUGGAACUGAGACACGGUCCAGACUCCUACGGGAGGCAGCAGUGGGGAAUAUUGCACAAUGGGCGCAAGCCUGAUGCAGCCAUGCCGCGUGUAUGAAGAAGGCCUUCGGGUUGUAAAGUACUUUCAGCAGUGAGGAAGGUGGGUAUGUUAAUAGCAUAUUCAUUUGACGUUAGCUGCAGAAGAAGCACCGGCUAACUCCGUGCCAGCAGCCGCGGUAAUACGGAGGGUGCGAGCGUUAAUCGGAAUUACUGGGCGUAAAGCGCAUGCAGGUGGUUUGUUAAGUCAGAUGUGAAAGCCCGGGGCUCAACCUCGGAAUUGCAUUUGAAACUGGCAAACUAGAGUACUGUAGAG
rnacentral:rRNA from 1 species